rnacentral:lncRNA from 1 species
CAAAUGAGUUAGGGUUUUGGGAAGAGGCUGAAGGUGUGGGAGAGGAGGAGGUCCCUGGCAGCAGCACUGAAAUCGCAGGCAAGAACAAUUAUUCUUGUUUGGUGAAGACUAGAAGUGAUGCUUGUUUCCUAGAAAAAGGAGCUAUUCUGCUGUCCCCAAGCCGGACCAAGCCUGCAGUAAGGCUCACUGCAGGGAGCACGUGGCCAGCGGCUCCGACUUCGGCAGACCUUCGCGUGUGUAAGUGCAUU